CACCGCGGUUAUACGGGUGUGCCCAAGUUGAUAGCUCUCGGCGUAAAGUGUGGUUAAAGGCCCCAUUAAACUAAAGCCAAAUACCCUUAAAGCUGUCAUAAGCCCACAAGGAAAAGAAGCCCAACUACGAAAGUGGCUUUAACCCUGCCCUUGAAUCCACGAAAGCUAAGGCA
rnacentral:rRNA from 1 species